CCGCCCGUCACACCAUCCGAGUCGAGGGUACCCGAAGCCGCUAGUCUAACCGCAAGGGGGACGGCGUCGAAGGUACGCUUGGUAAGGAGGGUGAAGUCGUAACAAGGUAGCCGUACCGGAAGGUGCGGCUGGAUCACCUCCUUUCUAAGAGAAAGGG
rnacentral:rRNA from 1 species